rnacentral:lncRNA from 1 species
UUUUUUUUUUUUUUUUUUUUUUUUGUGCUAGAAUACGGAGUCAUCCCUGCAUCCUUCCUCUGCUCUCACAUCUAUUCAGUCACUAAGUGCUUUCCAUUCCCCCUCCAAGCCCUUCUCAAUUCUGUCCAUACCUCUCCAUUCUCACUGCCACUGUCCCAGUUCAGGCUGCCAUGACAGUUUCAUAACAGGCUCCCUGCUUGCAGUCUCUCUUUUAUGUGUUUUAUCCUCCAGGAUAUAGCUGAGUUAUUUUUGUAAAACAUAGGUUGGAUCACAUUGCUCUCCACUGCUGCCAUGAUGGCCAAACCCUGGCUCUGACCUGUCAUUCUGGCCGCAUCUCCACACUACUUGCUGGUCCUUGGACAGGUCAUCCACUUACACACUGCUGAGCCAUUGCUCAUGCUAGCUGCUUAUGCUCUAGCUUGCUGGAUACUCCUUUCACCUUUUUCCACUGGUGAAUUCAAUCUUCAAGUCCCAGCUUAGGGACCACUUCUUUUAAGAGCCCCACCUUCUUGUCAGUCAUAAUUACCACUUCAAAGAAGAUUCCAUGUAACUGAUAAAUGAAUUCAGUGAUACUCUUUCUCAUCAGAGCUCUUACGGUAUUUUGUUUAAAGCCCCAUUAGAGGGCUUUAUUGUACUAUAUUUAGGUGUGUUUGAUAUGAUCUGUCUCCCUAUGAGAAUGUGAACUCCAUAAUACUAAUAGCUAACAUAUUGAGCAGUGAAUACACUAUGCUAAGUCAGGCAUGGUGCUAACCACUUUAUAUGCAGUAACCUCCAACAGCCCUGUAAGGCAGAUAAUAUUACUACUGUAAUAGCAGUAGUAAUAUUUCACAGAUAAAGAAACUGAAUGCAGGGUGGUGAAUUCACUUGUGCAAGGUUAUAUAACUAGAAAAUGGUAGAACUAGGAUUCAAACCAAGAAGUUCACAUCCUUAAGCCCUACUGUAGGCUACCUCUGUGGUGAUUAGAGGCCUUAUCUUAUUCAUCUUUGUAUUUCCAGUCUCUGGUAUUGUGUUGCUAUAUGAUAAAUGCUUUUCAUAUAGUAUAACAGAAGAAAAAUGAUUACGAAGCAUACUAGCUAUUUGCUAAAAAACUGAUAGACCAUGAUGAAAGAAUUAGUCGUGUUCCUCAAUGCAAGGGCUAUACAUGGGCUUUCCUGAAUCUGUACCAUUUUUUUUAAGAAGUAAGAAAGAUGCAAGGUAUAAAGAGAAAGUUAUUCCAGAAGUAGAUGCAGAUAUAGGUCCUGACUGGGACUAACAUGGCUCUCCAGUGUUGCCGUAUCCUCAGAAAGACCCAGCAGUCUAAGUCCUUGUUCUCACAUGGCAGAGUGAUUUUGAGAAAAACAUUUCUAAGCCGAGCGCAUUGGCUCAUGCCUGUAAUCCCAGAACUUUGGGAAGCCAAGGCAGGCAGAUCACUUGAGGACAGGAGUUUGAGACCAGCCUGGCCAACAUAGGGAAGUCCUGUAUCCAUGAAAAAUACAAAAAAUUAGCUGGGCGUGGUGGUGCGUGCCUAUAAUCCCAGCUACUCCAGAGGCUGAGGCAGGAGAAUCACUUGAACCUGGGAGGUAGAGGUUGCAGUGAGCUGAGAUUGAGCCACUGCACUUCAGCCUGGGUGACAGAGCGAAACUCUGUCUCUAAAAUAAAAUAAAAGAAAAAGAAAAACAUUUUUAGUCAGGGAAGAUUGGAACUCUUUUCAGCAAGUAUGCCAACCAAAGAGUUAAAAGUAUUGUGUGACUGGGCAUUAAUAUAAGCCCUUGAGCCUCUAUAUGUAAGAGACAGCAAUCAGACACUGAGCCACUUGCAUAGCCUUUUCGGGUUGUAGUUAAUUUAUUGAAAAAGCAGGCACAGUCACACCUCUAAUCAUAGAUAAGACAUACAGUUAAUGAUGAGAUAAGCCUUAAAGCCCAUGUAUGCCAGUUAUUUAUUUGCAGAUGGGAAUCUUCUCAACAUUUGUAGAAACAAUUGAAUGGCUUUAGAGUACUAGCAAACAUAUUACCUCUCUUUUAGCAAGAUGUACACUACAAGUAAUACUUUCACUAUGAUUUUUCUCAAAGUGGAUUUGGCUAAGAAUGUUUAAAAAUAUCUUGAAAAUUAAUUUAUUUCCUCAUGUUCCUUCUGUGAGGUACUUUGUUGUGAGACUGUGGUAAGUCACAAUAAAAUUAAUUUCAAGAAC